rnacentral:ncRNA from 1 species
CGGUCCCAAGGGUUGGGCUGUUCGCCCAUUAAAGCGGUACGCGAGCUGGGUUCAGAACGUCGUGAGACAGUUCGGUCCCUAUCCGUCGCGGGCGCAGGAAAUUUGAGAGGAGCUGUCCUUAGUACGAGAGGACCGGGAUGGACGCACCGCUGGUGUACCAGUUGUUCUGCCAAGGGCAUCGCUGGGUAGCUAUGUGCGGACGGGAUAAGUGCUGAAAGCAUCUAAGCAUGAAGCCCCCCUCAAGAUGAGAUUUCCCAUUCCGCAAGGAAGUAAGAUCCCUGAAAGAUGAUCAGGUUGAUAGGUCUGAGGUGGAAGCGUGGUGACACGUGGAGCUGACAGAUACUAAUAGAUCGAGGACUUAACCUA